rnacentral:lncRNA from 1 species
GGCGAAAGCGCAAGGUCUCAUUCCCUCCCCGCCAGGCCGUCUCCCCACCAAUAUUCGUCCUAUGCAGAGACUGGCUCACCCUGACGGAGUCACUCCCCGCCGAAGAGCUAUGCAAGUCCAUCAAAGAUGUGAUGCAGCUCCUCCGUGACUCAUUUGACCACCAGGAUGACCAGAACAAGCCCAAAAGUGAGUCACAGGAGUGCGGGAUGCUGGAGAACAAUGAGCAGGAGGAGGCAAAGAGCGGAAGUGUACCGGCAGCUGAAGGGCUGCAGUCGAGACUGACGAUGGUUCUGGAUCGCCUGACGAAGUUCUCGGAGGCAUCACUGAAGUGCUACGAGGAGCUCAAGCAGAACUACGAG